UCCUACGGGAGGCAGCAGUGGGGAAUAUUGCACAAUGGGGGGAACCCUGACGCAGCAACGCCGCGUGAUUGAAGGAGGUCUACGGAUUGUAAAAAUCUUUAAUCAGGGACGAAGAAAAUGACGGUACCUGAAGAAUAAGCUCCGGCUAACUACGUGCCAGCAGCCGCGGUAAUA
rnacentral:rRNA from 1 species